rnacentral:tRNA from 1 species
CGCGGGGUGGAGCAGCCUGGUAGCUCGUCGGGCUCAUAACCCGAAGGUCGUCNGUUCAAAUCCGGCCCCCGCAACCA